UACGUAGGGUGCAAGCGUUGUCCGGAAUUAUUGGGCGUAAAGAGCUCGUAGGCGGUCUGUUGCGUCGGCUGUGAAAACCCGAGGCUCAACCUCGGGCCUGCAGCCGAUACGGGCAGACUAGAGUUCGGCAGGGGAGACUGGAAUUCCUGGUGUAGCGGUGAAAUGCGCAGAUAUCAGGAGGAACACCAAUUGCGAAGGCAGCUCGCUGGGACGUUACUGACGCUGAGACGCGAAAGCGUGGGGAGCAAACAGG
rnacentral:rRNA from 1 species